GGCGCUGCCCGAAAUGCUUGGAAGGCUAGUUGGGGAGGGUAGCGCCUGCUAAGCGUUGCUCAUACCCGAGACAGGCGAGAUCGUUCAUGGGCUUUGUUUGGCUUUGCGGCCUUGCAUCUGCUCCUCUGGCGGUUUCGUGCUGGGCGAACCUCUCGAAGCAUCACACGGUCAUUGCCCACCACAGCUCGUUGCUUGGUCACCCGCUGAGUCUUGAUGUGCAGGAUGUUUCAUCCACUUUCCAGGCUAUUGAAGUUGACGCGUGGAUGGGCAGAAUCCCGCACGGAGGGCUUGUCCGUGCGUGGGUUGUGGCUCGCGUCACGCCUGUGAAAUCUGUGGCUCUGACUGCCGACUUGUGGACGUGGUGUGAUCCAUUCGGCGACGAAGCUGCAAUUGGCCAGACACAUACAGCGCCCAGCCCUCUCGUCAUGUGCCGACGGAGGGUACCUGCGGGCAGGCUGCUUGCGUCGCAUGCGAAGCAUACGCUCAGCCUGGGAUGCUGGUCUGAUUGGUGAUGUUCUGGCGACCAUCGGUCACGUCUCGAAACACGGGCCAAGGAGUAUAGCAUGUGUGCAAGUCUAAGGGUCUCACAAAACCCGAGGGCGAAGUGAAAGCAAAGGUGUGGCGGCGCAUUGCUGCGCCGUCAGCCAUGUCAAAGUGGUUGCUAGUACCGAGCUGAUCCUGCUUUCCCAUGCUGGGGACAGGCGCAAGCUCCGGGCUCACGAUUGUUGGUUCGGCAAGCUUCUCCUUCACGGGAGUUGCGGGCUGGACGGUGAGCACCGCGGAGCACAUAUGCUAUGACCCGAAAGAUAGUGAACUAUGCCUGGCGAGGGUGAAGCCCCAGGAAACUGGGGUGGAGGCCCGUAGCCGUUGUGACGUGCAAAUCCAUGGCGUCAG
rnacentral:rRNA from 1 species